AACGCUAGCUACAGGCUUAACACAUGCAAGUCGAGGGGAAACGAUAGAGAAAGCUUGCUUUUUCUAGGCGUCGACCGGCGCACGGGUGAGUAACGCGUAUCCAACCUGCCCAUCACUUGGGGAUAACCUUGCGAAAGUAAGACUAAUACCCAAUGACGUCUCUAGAAGACAUCUGAAGGAGAUUAAAGAUUUAUCGGUGAUGGAUGGGGAUGCGUCUGAUUAGCUUGUUGGCGGGGUAACGGCCCACCAAGGCGACGAUCAGUAGGGGUUCUGAGAGGAAGGUCCCCCACAUUGGAACUGAGACACAGUCCAAACUCCUACGGGAGGCAGCAGUGAGGAAUAUUGGUCAAUGGGCGGAGGCCUGAACCAGCCAAGUAGCGUGCAGGAUGACGGCCCUAUGGGUUGUAAACUGCUUUUAUACAGGAAUAAAGUUAGCCACGUGUGGUUAUUUGUAGGUACUGUAUGAAUAAGGACCGGCUAAUUCCGUGCCAGCAGCCGCGGUAAUACGGAAGGUCCAGGCGUUAUCCGGAUUUAUUGGGUUUAAAGGGAGCGUAGGCCGUCUGUUAAGCGUGUUGUGAAAUGUAGAUGCUCAACAUCUGAAUUGCAGCGCGAACUGGCAGACUUGAGUGUGCGCAACGUAGGCGGAAUUCGUGGUGUAGCGGUGAAAUGCUUAGAUAUCACGAAGAACUCCGAUUG
rnacentral:rRNA from 1 species